ensembl:lncRNA
AUUCAAUAAACCCUGCGACUACAGAAGAGCUUGUUCAGGAGGGAAGGAAUGUCCAUCUCUUCUGCAAAUAUGAUGGUGUCAGUUGUGAGGACCUCACUCCACUCAAGAAAGAAGAGUACUGUUUAGAGGUAACCCCUGUUACCCUGUCUUACAACUACUCCAGAACAGCUACUGCUGGAGAUGAAUUCUAUUGGUAUCGACAGGACACAGCACAAAGGCCAGAGUUCCUCCUGUACAUCUUGGGUUCAGGGUUUAUAAAUAAAGCAGAUCCUCUGAACACUCGAAUAUCUGCAAAACUGAACAAAGAGAAAAACCGUUUGGAUCUGGAGAUCUCCUCUGCUGUAGUGACAGACUCUGCUCUGUACUACUGUGCUGUGAGGCCCACAGUGACAGGAAACCUACACACACUGUUCAAAAACCUCAGCAGGGACCACAUCAGCAGGAAUGUAUCUAGUUUUUGUUUGAACUUGUGCCUAACCCU